rnacentral:rRNA from 1 species
UGGGGAAUAUUGGACAAUGGGGGCAACCCUGAUCCAGCAAUGCCGCGUGUGUGAAGAAGGCCUGCGGGUUGUAAAGCACUUUCAGUAGGGAGGAAAAGCCAGAGGUUAAUACCCUCGGGUCUUGACGUUACCUACAGAAGAAGCACCGGCUAACUCCGUGCCAGCAGCCGCGGUAAUACGGAGGGUGCGAGCGUUAAUCGGAAUUACUGGGCGUAAAGGGUGUGUAGGCGGCUAGGUAAGUCAGAUGUGAAAUCCCCGGGCUUAACCUGGGAACUGCAUCUGAUACUGCUUGGCUAGAGUUUGGUAGAGGGUAGUGGAAUUCCCGGUGUAGCGGUGAAAUGCAUAGAUAUCGGGAGGAACACCAGUGGCGAAGGCGACUACCUGGACCAAAACUGACGCUGAGGCACGAAAGCGUGGGGAGCAAACAGG